CCCAGCCUACAGCCAGCACCAACCUACCAACCAUGGCUUUUCUCAAGGUCACACAACCAGAAAGUGAUGGAAGCAGACGUUGGCCUGACAGCAAUUUUCCCCACUUGCCUCAUCCCAUAGCAAUUCUUAGAGAACAAGAUCGCGACCCAGCCUUCGUUGCAGGGAGGGCAGCCACGUGGCUCAUUCUGGCCAAUGAGAUGAAGAUGGAAGUUCCUAUGGAGGGUCCACUUCCUCAGAUGAAAUGGCCGUCUCCUGAGAAGGCUUUGCCCUUUACCUUCACCGUCUUUCUGCCUGGAAUGGAGAUGCAGUUCCUGGUGGAGCAGCCAUCUUGAUGCCAUGAGGACAAAGCUCACAUGCUCAGGAGGGCAGAGUGAGACGCCAGAGCAGCUGGGUCCCCGAUGUUCUCCUUGAGCAGCCACACUGGCCCCUGAU